UACAACACAUCGCCCUUGAAGCCGUAAAACUGCAGAAUCUCUAGGAAGAUUUCCGAUCUCCUCAUCUGCAAUGCAUUGAAGUUCUGCUGUUUCUAGGUGCAUUGGAGGGGCUCUUACAGAUGGAUUAGGAUGAUGACGCAAAUAGGAUUCGGUCGGGGCCUGUUCACGUUUUAUCUUUGCACCAGGAAGAACAAGUGGCGUAGUACGAUAAGGCUGAAAAUGGAAAUUUUUAUCUACUGAUGGGUAUAUUAAUGCAUUAUUUAUAUUUUAAUAAUAGCAGGUAUGUUAGGAUCUGUUUCAGUUUAACAGAGACGUGUUACAUACAUUAACACAUUCAUAUCUUUAUUAA